rnacentral:rRNA from 1 species
GACGAACGCUGGCGGCGUGCUUAACACAUGCAAGUCGAACGGAAAGGCCUGCUUUCCCUUGUGGAUUGCGGGUACUCGAGUGGCGAACGGGUGAGUAACACGUGAGUGAUCUGCCCCCAACUUGGGUAUAAGCCUGGGAAACUGGGUCUAAUUCCCGAUAGGACUGCAGGGUGGUGCCUGUGGUGGAAAACGAUUUUCUAGUGGUUGGGGAUGAGCUCGCGGCCUAUCAGCUUGUUGGUGGGGUAAUGGCCUACCAAGGCGGCGACGGGUAGCCGGCCUGAGAGGGUGUACGGCAACAUUGGGACUGAGAUACGGCCCAGACUCCUACGGGAGGCAGCAGUGGGGAAUAUUGCACAAUGGGCGGAAGCCUGAUGCAGCGACGCCGCGUGGGGGAUGACGGCCUUCGGGUUGUAAACUCCUUUCGACCGCGAGGAAGCCACCUGGUUGGAAGGGUGGUGACGGUAGUGGUAGAAGAAGCACCGGCUAACUACGUG